AUAAAGUCAGAGAUGAAGGUCCAAGUUGCAACUCAGAAUAACCGAUCUCCUCCGACCCUAAAGCCACAUUCUUUUCCUUGCAAGGGCAAGUCCUACAUUGCAACCUUCUCUCCAGGAUGAAUUCCAAAAUGUCUCAUUUUGAGCAUGGCACACGUAAAUCCCCCAGUGGAAGCAGUUGGAUGUCUUUGUCCAAUGUGGAAUAUUUCCACUUGAUUCAAGGUUGCAGAAUUGGAGAUGUGCACACAAGGCCACUGAGCAUGCAGAUCCAUGUAGGUGGAUUUUCACUGUGUGCCAUCCAUGGAAGUGCUCUGCACAUUUGAUUGCGUACUUGGUUGAAGAUUAAGGUUCAAAACACACCGCAGAAAUAAUCCAGUUUGAAGCUGCUUUAACUGCCCUGGCUCAGUGCAAGAGAACCUUGAGAAUUGUAGUUUAUUGUGGCACCAGAGCUCUCUGACAGAGAAGGCUAAAUGUCUCAUAAAUGUAGUUUCCGCCAUCCCCUAGCAUUGAGCCAGGGCAAAGUGGUCUCAAAUUGAAUUAUUUCUGCAGUGUGUUUAGGACCUUAGUCUCUUAGUUUAGCUGCCAGUGGCAAUCCCAUUCAACACUAGAACUGCCAAGCAAAACUAAAUAUGUGCACAGAGAUGUACACUACACAACCCAGAAAUCUCAGUACUCCUGUGCAAACCAGAAUGGAGAUUGCAGCCAAGAAAUAAGAAGAUGACUAGGAACGGGAAGGGCAGCUAUGAAAGAACUAGAUAAGAUCCUAAAGAGUAAAAAAAUUCAACUGAGCACCAAAUUCAGAUUCAUCCAGGUCAUACUUUUCCCCCUCACCAUGUACAGAUGUGAGAGCUGGACGGUGAAGAAAGCAGAUAGGAAGAAAAUGAACUCAUUUGAGAUGUGGUGCUGGAGAAGAGUGCUGAAGAUAUUGUGGACAUUCAAAAAGAGAAACAAAUGGGUCCUUAGACAGAUCAAACCAGAACUCUCCCUGGAAGCCAAGAUAACGAAACUGGGGCUCCCAUACUUUGUUCAUAUCAUGAGAAGACAUGACUCACUCGAAAAGACAUUAACGCUUGGAAAGGUGGAGGGUAGUAGAAAAAGAGGAAGACCACACACCAGAUGGCUAGAUUUAAUGAGGGAAGUCCCAAACAUGAAUCUACAGGACUUAAGUACUGUAGAGCAGUGGAGGAUGGGGGGGGGGGGGUUUGGAGAUGUCUCAUGCACAAGGUCACCAUGGGUCAGGGCCUACUUGAGGGCAGUUAACAAGAACAAAACAAAGGGUGAAGUGAGGUGAAGAGGCUCGGGUUACAUUUUAAUGGGACUCUGCAUCACAGAGACCAUGAGAUAGCAAUUGCCCAGUAAGAUGACAGUUAAGCAGCAACAUGAAUCUUGAAAUCUUUCUCAGGAGUGGUUAUAAAAUCCCAAGAAAAGACCAUGAGGAAAACACUAAGACACUCUGUAACAAAGGGAGCUGGAGGUGGAUGCUGCUGUACCCCGGAGUACUUCACCUAGACUAGACAAAGGAGUCCAGACUCCCAGCUCCUCCUCAAACAUCAAGGACUACAAAUCCCAUCCAAUGUGUAAAUAGAAUAGGAGAAUAUAUUAGCUAGUCACAUCAGGGACUUUGGGUUUCUUUUCCUGACUUGGUUUAAAUGAUCUAAUCUGUCUGUAACUUCCAAACUUGUGCCCUGAAGAAAAGAUGGCCCUCUAUGUGAAAGAUAGCCUGCUGCUAUGAAGAUUUCUUUCUUAGAAUAAAACAUU